rnacentral:rRNA from 1 species
UUUCUCCGCCGGCGACCGGCGCACGGGUGAGUAACACGUAUGCAACCUGCCCCUGUCAGGGGGACAACCCGCCGAAAGGCGGGCUAAACCCGCGUACAUGCCACCGGGCAUCCCGGAGGCAGGAAAGGCUUAGGCCGGACAGGGAUGGGCAUGCGGCGCAUUAGGCAGUAGGCGGGGUAACGGCCCACCUAACCGACGAUGCGUAGGGGUUCUGAGAGGAAGGUCCCCCACACUGGUACUGAGACACGGACCAGACUCCUACGGAAGGCAGCAG